AUCUUGGCUGUCUAUGAUUAUAAGAUCUCCUCCCUGCAGCUGACAGAAAUCUCUGGAUUCCUUCCAUGUUUUGAAUUCAUUUGAUUUCAAGGGGAAGUAGUAACAUACAGGGUUCAUUAAAAUCCAUCCUGCAGGACAGUGUUUGCAGCCAUCGCCUGUUUCCAAAAAAUAAUACCACCAUUAUAGAAAAUUAUGAAACAAAUCAUUGUGCUUUUACAAUUUUAUCAUAUACAUAAAUAAUGAAACCGGUCUUACUAAACAUUGAUAAGCGUGUUCUCAUGGUUUCAAUUUCCUUUGUAACUUUUUCAAUCUGACUUUUAUAGUCAUUGCUUCGUUUCGUCUGGUGUUCAAGCUCCCAGUUGGUUUGUGUCUGACGGCUCAUCUCGCUGUCCAGCUGCUUCCUGGCAUCCUUCAUGGUUUCCACUGCAGUCUUGUAAGUGUCCUGGAGGUCGACCAGCUCUUUGCUGAUGCGUUCGGUAUCAUCGAGCGUGAGAAAUGCUGUUCAACAGCUGUCACCAAAUGGAGCACUCUAAACUCUGCACUGGAAAAAUAUUCCUUACUUCACCUGUGAUCACACACUUUGGUUUUCCAGUGCAAAUGAAGCUGGCAGAGGAAUGGCAAAGGAAAGGAAAGACCUCACUGAGCGACAAAGAUGAGGACAAAAGCUGGUGAUGAUUCAGUGCAGCUGGUCUCAGGGGAUGAAGCAAAAGCCUGAUCACCAAAAACAAGGCUGAAUGAGACGGGGGAAGUAAACAGCGAUACAUUCACCCAGACUGCUGAUGUUCCUGUAUGAACUGAGAAACUUUGAACAUCCAAGAAAAAGCUGAGGUUAUUUUCUUUACAGCUCAUAUGGAUCUUGAUUGACUGAACAUUCAGACUUUAUUCUGGACUUUGCUACGGAGAGAGGUACCAACAUGUGUGAGCACAUGUGUACACACACACAGCAUCUCACUUCAUGCUUGCCCUUCCCCUAGACUCUUGUGUCACUCAGCAGUUUGUCGUAUUAUUGUCUUAUUUGUUGAAAUUUAGGGUCCAUGAGCACAAGCAGGGAUUUUUGCUUGAUCUCAUUCUCAGAGGCCUCGCUAAUAUUUAAUGGUCGUGAAAUAUGUCAAACUUUUCUCCAUCCCUAAAGUUAAACAGCUGAGAGCAUCUUUAGCACAGCAGAGAAAAAGAUGUGCACCAUCAACCGGAGUUUAAGUGAUCCAUUUAAGUGAUCCUUAUGCCUUUGCUGCUGAUGAAAAGUUUGCAUCAGAACAAGCACUUCUAAUUGUACACUGUAAAAAAAUAUUGUAGAAUUUACGGUGAAUUACUGGCAGCUGUGGUUGCCAGAAUUUCACCGUGGAAAAUAUAGUGAUAAUGCAGAAUACAUAACGGUAUACUUGUUGAUAAAUGUAAAAUUCACAGUGAACUUUGGUUUUUGUACAAUUAUUACAUUGAAAUAAAAAACUAUUAUAAAGUAAACCAGUUAAAAUACAUUUUAAUAAGCUUGUUUACCGUCUCCUAUUGACAAAGCACAGAAGAGCUGUAUAAUACAAGACAUGCCUUUUUAUUCAAAAGUUCAUAUUUACAUGAAAUUAUUGGCAGCUGUUGCAGCCAGAAUGUUGUCUAAAAAGAUUAAGGUCCAACAAAUGAGGUAAUAAACAUAAUAGGGCUAAUAGAAAAAUUAGAAUAGAAUAAAAUUGUUUUAAAAUUUGUCAUAAUUUGCUAGAAACAUUAAUAAAAACCAGUAGAGACAAUGAUUAAAUUAAACAGUUAAUAUCCAUCCGCUUCCACUUAUCCUUUUUCAGGGUCGCGCUGGAGCCUAUCCCAGCUUUCAUGGGGCGAGAGGCGGGGUACACCCUGGACAGGUCACCAGUCUGUCACAGGGCUAACACACAGGGACAGACAACCA